UCAUUUUCCGGUUAGCCUUCGGGGUGUCCGCGUGAGAAUUGGCUAUAUCCUGGAGCGAGUGCUGGGAGGUGCUAGUCCGCCGCGCCUUAUUCGAGAGGUGUCAGGGCUGGGAGACUAGGAUGUCGGACACGUGGAGCUCUAUCCAGGCCCACAAGAAGCAGCUGGACUCUCUGCGGGAGAGGCUGCAGCGGAGGCGGAAGCAGGACUCGGGGCACUUGGCAGCAGACCUUCGCCCUUCUGCAAGUAGUUCGCGGUUCCUCCUCACGCUGGGCCUCGGUUCUUCCAGGUCACUUUUACCGGACGGACGCUUGAGCCCCACCCUCGUCCGCCUUGCCCACUCCUCUUCAGACUGCGAGGACGUCGCCUUUGUGAGGCUGCUCAGCCCCCUAUCCCGCGAAGCAGCAAGAACCCCUUUUUGUUGCUGCUUUGGCGCUUUGUUCCCUCAGUUAUAACGACUGUUUUGUAGUGGUCAUUUCUUGGCAGCUGUGGGUACAGUAAGCGAGGAAUGAACCUUUAUAUCUGCAGUGCCCAAUUCAGUGGCCCGU
rnacentral:sRNA from 1 species